rnacentral:rRNA from 1 species
AGUGGCGUAAGGGUGAGUUAGGCGAAGGUAACCAACCCCAUGGUCGGGUAUAGCCGCGGGAAACUGCGGGUAAUCCCCAGCGACGUCCGGGAGGGGCAUCCCUCCGGGACCAAAGCUCCGGCGCCGUGGGACGGGCCUUCGUGGUAUUAGGUUGUUGGCGGGGUAAUGGCCCACCAAGCCUCUGAUGCCUACCGGGCGUGCGAGCGUGGCCCGGCACACUGGGACUGAGACACUGCCCAGACUCCUACGGGAGGCUGCAGUCGAGAAUCUUCGGCAAUGGGCGCAAGCCUGACCGAGCGACGCCGCGUGGAGGACGAAGGCCUUCGGGUUGUAAACUCCUGUCGAGGGGGAAGAAGCCGCAAGGUUGACUGAUCCCUGGAGGAAGCACGGGCUAAGUUCGUGCCAGCAGCCGCGGUAAGACGAACCGUGCGAACGUUAUUCGGAAUCACUGGGCUUAAAGCGCGUGUAGGCGGAUCGGAACGUCGGUCGCUGAAAUCCCCCGGCUUAACCGGGGAACGGGCGCCGA